GAUUAUUGCGCAGGAUGAGUUGUUUCACUUGUCUCUCCCUGUCAGGAACCAGCUGACGGAGGACUCUGGCCUUCUCCCGGAUCAUCUUCCAGCACCACAACUUUCUGUGCUAGAAUCCCUCGCCAGUUGGAACUGGAUUAUAGCUGUUUGGCAUUUCAGUAAUAGCAUAGACUACAGAUGUCUAACCUCAAUCAACUGAAGCUGCCUGAGUUCCUCUUUCAAGAUGGAUGAAAGUGAAAGUACACCAGCCUAUCCCUGUCGAGAUCUGGUUUGGAUCUCAUGCAUAAUGCUACCAAAGAGCAGCACAUAAAUGGAAAAACAAGGGUGACAUGGAUAGAUCCCUCAGGAGAUAUCAGAGGGAAAUAUGUUGGAGAACACAACACAAGUGAUACUCAUCUUACAAUUAGGUGGAUAUGAGCGGAAUCAAGGGAGAACAAUCCCAUGAAGCUGUGUGACAUUUGGAAGUACAAGAAGAGGAUGGUCUAGUCAACCAUAUCAAUGAUUGUAGAAAUUGUACCCAGAGUGCUAUGCAGACUCAAAAAUAGAGAAACAUAGAAAAUGAGAAAAGAGGAAGAAAGAAACAUAAUCUGGAAGAUAAAAUAGGAAAAGGUACAAAGAGAUAGGAACUCCUGAAUAAUAGUACUGCAAAGAAAGAUGGAAUGAGAAACACAUGCCUCCACAAGGUAGGCUCAAAAGGCUUAUAAAAUGACUGGUUCGCUCAGCUCAUUUUUAAUACUGGAGUCUGAAUUCCAAACUCUCAAGGUAUUUGAUUCCCUAAGUCUGAGUAAUGUUAUUCAUAAGUUCUAAAAUAGUCAUUCUCAUCCCUCCCUCAAUUCUCCUUACAAACACUCAAACAACAUUUAUUUAGCCAUGCAUCAUGCUUCGUAAGUUUCUGUUUUAUUAUUAUUUGAAAUUGAUGGUAAAUAUUUCUAUACAUUUUAAAUUCUGUGUGCCUUAGCCACAGAAUUAAUUUGGGAAAACAAAAACAUGCUAUGUUAUUAAAAUGCAGAGCAUGUUUUUCACACACUGAUUGCUUUUGUCUUUUAACCCUUACCCAAGUCCAGUACUGUAUAUGUGUGAUGUCCCUACACUUUUCAGUGAUAUUUUACCUUAAUGAUAAAUAAGCAGCCAUUCUUUCAUUAAGCAGAUUUGUGAGAUAUCUUGAAGGACAAUAGCAGUAAUAAAGAUCAGAUUAAGAAGUCAUUAAUAGUGUAAAUUCAUUUUGUUUAUUUAUAGAAAAGCUGUGGUCAGUAUUGUGUGAAUCAGAUUCAGAACCUGUACUUGUCUGAACAUUUUUUUUAACAGAAUAUUUUUGUUUUACUUACAUGCUUUUGUUUCAAUCUCCGUGUAUAACUUUUCAAUGUAGUCCUAUUACAUCAACAACUCUCUCCGCUUUUAUGGAAAUGAUUUUUCAAUCUGAUCAAAAUUCACUCUCUCUCUCUCCUCUCCUUCCCUCAAUUUCUAUGUGAUUCAAGCCACAUUAUUUCUGUGAGCAGAAUUUUCGGCUCCCUUGAGCAAAGUGCACAGUAGAAAGAAAGUUGGGAAAAUAAGACAAAAAUAGAAAAAUUUGAUUCUUUAUGUUGAGAAAAAAAUUUAUAAUUUUCCACUUGGGAUUUAAAUGGCAAGUUCUGAAUCUCACUAAUGAGUUGUGACUGCAUUAUUUCCAUGCAUCAGUAUCUAAUUAUUAACUAAUCAUACCUUGUAUAUUUGCAGGUCCCAAUUCUCUCCUCUUUCCAAAAGAAACCAGAUGGCAGCAAUACUUGACAUGAAAAUCAAAGUGAUUACCUGGCAGGCAUCUCACCCUUUUCCAGGCCUUCACAAACUCCAGCAGCAUUAUUUGCCCAGCAUGCUCCAUAGACACUGUCCCUUUCCCCUCUUCAUCCAUGCAAAUGGACAUCACCAAACCAUCAGUGUCACCACAUCAUGAUGGCAGCUUUGGUCCAACUUACACACCACUUCAGCUCUUCAAGUCUUUACUGUGGAACACAGGGAUAAUUAAGACUUGCAUACUUAGAGUCAUAGGGUCAUCGAGAUGUACAGCAUGGAAACAGACCCUUCGGUCCAACCUGUCUAUG